CACCUCCUACGGGGGGCAGCAGUGAGGAAUAUUGGUCAAUGGGCGGAAGCCUGAACCAGCCAAGUCGCGUGAGGGAAUAAGGCCCUACGGGUCGUAAACCUCUUUAGGCGGGGAGCAAUGCCGGGCACGCGUGUCCGGAGGGAGAGUACCCGCAGAAUAAGCAUCGGCUAACUCCGUGCCAGCAGCCGCGGUAAUACGGAGGAUGCGAGCGUUAUCCGGAUUUAUUGGGUUUAAAGGGUGCGUAGGCGGAUUUUUAAGUCAGCGGUAAAAUGUCCGGGCUCAACCCGGGCCGGCCG
rnacentral:rRNA from 1 species